UAAUACAUAAUUUUUAAGGGUUGAGCAGUUUAUGUAGUUUAUUAAAACAUUACACUUUCAUUGUAAAAUUAAAUUCAUAUUUUAUAA
rnacentral:tRNA from 1 species